rnacentral:rRNA from 1 species
UACGUAGGGCGCAAGCGUUGUCCGGAUUUAUUGGGCGUAAAGAGCUCGUAGGUGGUUUGUCGCGUCUGCUGUGAAAACUCGGGGCUUAACCCCGGGCCUGCAGUGGGUACGGGCAGACUAGAGUGUGGUAGGGGAGAGCGGAACUCCAGGUGUAGCGGUGAUAUGCGUAGAGAUCUGGAAGAACACCCGUGGCGAAGGCGGCUCUCUGGACCGUAACUGACGCUGAGGCGCGAAAGCCAGGGGAGCGAAC